UUUUUAUGUGUUUGUGGUAUGAUUGUGGUGUAGUUUUUAAUGUUUUUAUCCCCUUCAAUUAUGGUUUGACUUAUGCUAUAAUGUUAAUAAGAGAUUGCAAUAAAGUUCUUUGUAUUUCGUAUGCAUUGUUUUAAUCAUCCGAAUCAUCUGAUUAUGUUAUCCAUUGUUAGCUUAACAUGAAAAACAGUUGAAUCAUAAGAAUUUGAUCAGUUAAUAGGUUAAAAGUAAAGAAGGGUAGAGUCAACACUAGCAGGCAGUUGGGGAGGGAGAAAUUUCCUUUGUGAACAAGAAUAGACUUGUCAUCCGACACGAUUUGAGGUUGUUGGGCUAAAAAUAUUUUUUUGCCAUUCAAACCAAAGUUUAUUAUAUUGUGGUUUACCAUCCUAAACUAUAAAGGUAAUAUCUUUUUUUCCAAACAAGGUUUUUACCAGGACCCUGGCUGUUCCAAACAACGUUAAUACUUCAGGACCCUGACUGGAGGAAUCAAGCACCUUUUUUUUUUGUUAUUACCUGUUACACUUACUGAAUACUGUCAGCAAACUUCUGGAUCCACCACUGCACUUAUGUUGGCACUUCCAGGAGUAAACGAGGAUCUGGCAGAGGCAGGAUAUGAGUGAUUCGUUUUGGUCUGGUGAUGAAUUACAUGCAUGACUGGAAAUAUGCCCAUUGGAGAGGAGGCUGUUGCAUAUUCUGAUUCUUUAGUGUUUCCAAUAACCAAAGCAUAGCAGUUUAGAACAUACAGUACUCCAAGUAUUCACAAAGGUGCAAUACUGGUCAUAUCAACAUAUCAAAAAAAGCAGAGGCUCUGAAUACCCUAGAUCUGUGGCCCUAGAUCAUAAUCUUCAUUUCCCAUGCUGUAAUUUCUUCAGGUGAUCCUGAGAUGUGCUAAAAUAUGAAGUACUGGAAACCCACCAGGACUGAAUCCCACUGGGGAAACUUAUUGGCCCAGGCAACCAGCCAUGGAUUCAACUUUCUUCUGGAGACCAACUGCCACUCUCGGCAGCCCAUAAAUAGGUAC